UACGAAGGGGGCUAGCGUUGCUCGGAAUCACUGGGCGUAAAGCGCACGUAGGCGGCUUACUAAGUCAGGGGUGAAAUCCUGGAGCUCAACUCCAGAACUGCCUUUGAUACUGGUAAGCUCGAGUCCGGGAGAGGUGAGUGGAACUGCGAGUGUAGAGGUGAAAUUCGUAGAUAUUCGCAAGAACACCAGUGGCGAAGGCGGCUCACUGGCCCGGUACUGACGCUGAGGUGCGAAAGUGUGGGGAGCGAACAGG
rnacentral:rRNA from 1 species